GUCCUAGCCGUAAACGAUGUAGACCAGGUGUGGGGGGUAUCGACCCCUCCCGCGCCGACGCUAACGCAUUAAGUCUACCGCCUGGGGAGUACGACCGCAAGGUUAAAAACUCAAAGGAAUUGACGGGGGCCCGCACAAGCGGUGGAUCAUGUGGUUCAAUUCGACGCUACGCGAAGAACCUUACCUGGGCUCGAACGACUGGUUGUACCCCUUUUGAAAGGGAGGGGGACCCGCAAGGGAGCCAGCCGAGGUGCUGCAUGGUUGUCGU
rnacentral:rRNA from 1 species